rnacentral:rRNA from 1 species
GAGUAAUGCGUGACCAACCUGCCCCAUGCUCCAGAAUAGCUCUUGGAAACGGGUGGUAAUGCUGGAUGCUCCAACUUGACGCAUGUCUUGUUGGGAAAGUGUUUAGUGGCAUGGGAUGGGGUCGCGUCCUAUCAGCUUGUAGGCGGGGUAAUGGCCCACCUAGGCUUCGACGGGUAGCCGGCCUGAGAGGGCGGACGGCCACAUUGGGACUGAGAUACGGCCCAGACUCCUACGGGAGGCAGCAGCC